rnacentral:lncRNA from 1 species
CUCACAUUUUUCAUUCCUGGGUGACAGAUGGGAGCCUUCAGACUUUCGACACUCCCCAAACUUCAAACUCUCUCUCUUUGAAAGAAGAAAAUGAGGGAAUGUUAGCCACGAUGCACCAGUGAACAGACGUCCCCAAACCCUGCUGCUGCAGGCAUUCGUUGCCGACAAGGAAAGACAGCAGAGAAAAAACAUGAAGUCCCUACUCUGCGGUUGGGAUGCUGAGGGAGGCCAGGAAGACUAGACAAACGGUA